rnacentral:rRNA from 1 species
GAUGAACGCUGGCGGCGUGCCUAAUACAUGCAAGUCGAGCGAACAGACGAGGAGCUUGCUCCUCUGACGUUAGCGGCGGACGGGUGAGUAACACGUGGAUAACCUACCUAUAAGACUGGGAUAACUUCGGGAAACCGGAGCUAAUACCGGAUAAUAUAUUGAACCGCAUGGUUCAAUAGUGAAAGACGGUUUUGCUGUCACUUAUAGAUGGAUCCGCGCCGCAUUAGCUAGUUGGUAAGGUAACGGCUUACCAAGGCAACGAUGCGUAGCCGACCUGAGAGGGGGAUAGGCCACAUGGGGAGUGAGACACGGUCCAGACUCCUACGGGAGGCAGCAGUAGGGAAUCUUCCGCAAUGGGCGAAAGCCUGACGGAGCAACGCCGCGCGAGUGACGACGGUCUUCGGAGCGUAAAACCCUGUUACUAGGGAAGAACAAAUGUGUAAGUAACUAUGCACGUCUUGACGGUACCUAAUCAGAAAGCCACGGCUAACUACGUG